rnacentral:rRNA from 1 species
AUGAGAUCCCGUUGGCCCCUACCGCCGGAUGAUUUCUUGGUUAACUCCGGCAAGGAGUGGUUAUUGAAUCUGCUUACUUUGUGUUCAGAAGAUGUCCGGGAUAUGGUGGUCAUGCUGAUAUGGCGUAUCUGGCAGUUGAAGACAGAUGCUUCACAUGGUAAGGAAUGCCCACCGGUGGACGUCACUGUGGAUUUCCUGGAUAGCUAUCACAAGUCUAUCAAACUCGCUGGACGCUUUAGUACAGACGAGAUAAUCAAAGGGAAGAUGAGUGUGUCCGACCUUGGGCCUGGUAAGUCAGAGACUCGCCACCCCGCUCCGUGGCCAGCACCAGCGCCGGGCACCGUCGCCCUAUCCGUGGAUGGGUCAUUUCGGGACUCGGAUGGGUCUGCCGCAGCGAGGAUGAUUCUUCGAGAUGAGUCAGGUGCAGUGUUGUUCACCGCUUACCGUUACAUCUUCCAUUGUAACGAUGCUUUGGAAGCGGAGUUUCAUCAUUGUCUAGCAAUGGUCUCAUUAGAUCAGCUUAUGGUCAUUUAG